UCGAGAAUCAUUCGCAAUGGGCGAAAGCCUGACGAUGCGACGCCGUGUGAGCGAUGAAGGCCUUAGGGUCGUAAAGCUCUUUCGCUUGGGAACAAGAGAGAUUGCCUAAUAAGCAGUUAAUUUGAGGGUACCAGGUAAAGAAGCACCGGCUAACUCCGUGCCAGCAGCUGCGGUAAUACGGAGGGUGCAAGCAUUAAUCGGAUUUAUUGGGCGUAAAGGGCGCGUAGGCUGGACGAUAAGUCAGAUGUGAAAUCCCGGGGCUCAACCCCGGAACAGCAUUUGAAACUAUCAUUCUUGAGGAUAGAGGGAGAAAACGGAAUUCCACAAGUAGCGGUGAAAUGCGUAGAUAUGUGGAAGAACACCGGUGGCGAAGGCGGUUUUCUACUUUAGACCUGACGCUGAGGCGCGAAAGCAAGGGGAUCAAACAGGAUUAGAUACCCCCGUAGUCC
rnacentral:rRNA from 1 species